rnacentral:lncRNA from 1 species
CUGUAGUUUUCUGGCAGGGGGUUUCCCGGCAGCCGUUUCAGUCUGCAGGGCAUGGCGGGAGGUGUAGUCUUCCCAUACUGGCCUUCUGGGAGACCAUGUUGCGCCUCUCGAGGUGGCGGGAGGUGCAGUUCUCUGUCAGCGGGGUUCCCAGCAGCCGUUCACGUUGUGCUCUGUGGCAGGCCAGCAGCUGUACUUCCAGGUGCCUGUGCCUUCUCCGCCCUGCAGCAGUGGCCCGCUGUGUGUGUUCCUUACCGGACACGUGUCGCUCGGGUGUCGAAAAAGCAGUACUGCACCGUGGCCGUGCUCCCURCUGCCCUCGGGUGUCCAAAAAGCGCGGUAUUGCAGCCACAACGGGGAAGCGCAUGCGCACUGAGUUCCGGCGCGCACACGCUCAGUACCGGUCGCCGUGUUCGCCGCUGCUCUCCGCCGUUUCGGGAACGGGGUAGUCCACCGAAGGGGGACAUCUUGAAGAGAAGCAGCUCGACCUAG